UAAUAGUUGUAGCUUUCCUCUGUGUAUACAUAUCCUUACACGUACAAUUUUAGUUGUAUUAUUUGUCCCCUUCAAAAACUGCUCUCGAGAAAUUUUAUGUAGCCUAUAUUGUCCCCUCCCACUGUGUGUGUGCGUGCGUGCGUGCGUGUGUGUGAGAAUGAAACCUUUACUUUCGUUUCUAAUUAAGUUUAAAUAUCUGAACUGUGGCCUCUACAGAAGCGUAUAUCAUUACAACAACUUCGGAGAUAAUGAACUCACCGAGAAGAACUGCUGCUCGUCGGUUUUACCCCAUCCUCCUCUGCGUAGCUGCCAUGUUUGCUUCAGUCGUGUUUGACAAGCGGAGGAACUGCUCUCAACGCGACUUCACUUCAAAAGAGAAGAUGAUGAUGUUGGGAGCGUUUCUCAGCACAUGAGAACAAGAUCACUUUUUCUGCAUCCCACUUUACAGCACGCGGAGGGCAGCGCUUCAUGGGCCUCUCUUCUUACUCGAUCCAUUUCUGUAGAGGGGGCGCAUUGAAAACAGGUUCACGCUGUAGGUCGAGGUCUUGUUUUUGAAGAGCUCUGUCACUCUGUCCUGCAUUCCUAGAAAGCUAUGCACUCCUCACUCAGCUGACAGUCUUGGCAGAUACCUUCACGCAUAAGGUGGAGUUUGCUGUAACGUUAACCUUCUGAAAAUACCCUGUAUUCAACCUGCUUUGACUUGCCUCACCCAUUUCAACAUUCUAAAUUGUAAUGCCUGAGGUGAGGGAUCCAGUUUUGCAUGUUCUUCUUUUCCAGUAACUAUGUCGCCUUAAUUACUUUGUACAGAACAUUAUGCACAAACAGAUGCCUAUACAGGAACACUGUUAACCACCAAAAUAGAGCAUUUAUGUUUAUCAUCAAAUCAGCCCUCCUUGUCAGUUUUGCUGCUGUAUGAUCAAUAUUGGACAUCAUAUAAUAUUAAGUACACUGUGAACUUUGAAUAACCUCAAAAUGAUGAUCAGUUUGAGUUUAUACUGGUGUGUUUCUGGAAGCAGAAGUAGUGAUAUAUGGUGUAACAGGUUUAUGACCAAACGCUGGCCAAUGAUAAGCUGUUUACUCUAAGUAUGGAAGUGUCAGAGCUAAAGAUAGCUGAAGUGAGCACUUGCAGAAGCAACAAGUGCUGAGGGUAUCAUUUCUGAGCCUAUAUGAUCACAGCUGAAGGACUGUAGAUGUCUUACGUUAAAAAAAACUUUCAAAAAGCACAUACUGUAUAUUAUGCUUAUUAUAGGAUCAUAUUCUUAAUGUAGAUUCACAUAGUUAGAAAUAUGCAACAAUGAUUCAGUUUUUUUUUAUGUAUGUUCAUGCAUGCAUGUCAUUAUAUAAUAUUUGUUAGUGACUUAAUAAUGAAUUGAUCAGAUAACACUUUUAGGUAAAGCAUUAAGUAAAAUGAUCUAACAAUGAGCAAUUCAUGAUUUUUGUCAAUCUUUGUUAAUGUCACUUAAUAAAAAUACAGCUGUUUGUUGUUCAUUCAUGUUAGGACCAUUAAACAAUGUUAAUAGAUACAACUUUUAAUUUUAUUAAUGUAUUAGUAAAUGAUCAAAUUAACAUUAAAGGAAUAGUUCACCCACAAAUGAAAAUUUGCUGAAAAUUUACCCUCAGGCACUUUUAACUUCAAAUGAGUCCUCUAUCCAUAAAAUUGCUUUCUCCAGUAAAAAGGCGUCUCAUCUGAAUCAGGAGAGAAAUAUGCACAGAUCAAGCACCGUCGUUGUCAUUGGAGAAAGCAUUAUUAUGGAUUAUGGAGAAAACAGUAGUAUAAAGUUAAAAGACAUUAAUUGAUGUACUGGAGUCGUGUGGAUUACUUGUGAAUUAUUGUGAUGUUUUUAUCAGCUGUUUGGACUCUCAUUCUGACGGCACCCAUUCACUGCAGAGCAUCCAUUGAUGAGCAAGUGUAAUGCUAACUUUCUCCAAAUCUGUUCUGAUGAAGAAUCACGCUGACCUGCUGUACGUAUUGGAUGGCCUGAGGGUGAGUACAUUUUAAGCAAAUUUGAUUAUUAUUUUAUUUAUUAUUAUUAUUACAGGGAAACACACUCACUUGUGUGUGUGUUUUUUCUAUAUUUAGGUUAGGAUGUGCUCAUGUCGACAUGCGCUUGAGAUGUAAGUUCACUGUUUUCCGUGUGUUUAGGGGUUUGUAUCAUAUCGUCUUUGUAUCAGCCAUGCAGAGGUCAGGGCCUGUGAGAUUGUUCAAGCGCAAACAAACUGACGUGGCCAAUGCUAUCAUUAGUGUGUAUAAACACACAUGGUUAAAAAAGCGAUUACAUUUAAUGUAAUUGCAGCAUGUGGAACAUCUUGAGUCACAGAUAUGAAGAUAUGAAAUGUGACUUUGCAUGAAACAAUAUUCACCCCAAAUGUUGUCCCGCAGAACAGCUGUCUGAACAAACAGUUUCAUAUUGAACAAUGCUGCUGAUUUGUUUACGGCCUCCCAGCAUGCAUUGCACCAUGAAUCAAUUAUGUCAUUACUGUUCUAGGAUUACUGUUUUGAUGGUUACUGACUUUAUUAAUACUGUUGUUGUUGUCAAUGUUAGUUUUUGUUAUGAAAUUACUUAUCGAUCGGCAUUUCCUUUAUAAAUUAAACAACAAAAAAGACACCUAAGGCACAGCUGCAUAGACUUUAUCAGUUAAGAUUUUUUUUUUUUAAAGAAAUUAGUAUUUUUAUUCAGCAAAGUUGUAUUACAUUGAUCAAGUGACAUGAUCAACAUUUAUAAUGUUACAAAUAAUUCCAAAUAAUUCCACAUUCCUAUUGCAAAAAUAAGCAUACGAGACUUCUUUGAAAAACAUUAAAGCAUUAUACCAACCACAAAGUUUUGAAAGGUAGCUAAUUUGACUAUUUCAAACUAAUAAAAAAAGAUUCAGAGAACAUGUUUAAUUUUUAUCUGGAAAUUGUUUCAUGUGAAUAUUGUAAAUACAUCAUUCUUAUCUAAUGUAUUUCUGUUGUAGACCUAUGUCUCAUUCUUUUAACACCCACAGCCUCACACAGUACGAUCUAACCUCAUUUUAACAAAGGCAACUUUAACCGAUUUAGCUGACUGUUACAAGUUGUUGUAAAUCUUUGCUAAGCUGCAUUGGAUCUGCAUCAUUAAAAUGUUUAGACGGAGAAACGUCACACCAGCGUGAGGUGAGGUAAUUGGAUAGGGCAGCGCUGGAUGGAGGAGAAAGUUAAGUAAUCAGAUCAGGUGUUGAAACAAGAGAAUCAUAGAAGGGCGCGGGUGAGGGAUAAAGCUAGAAAUCAGUUUAAUCUAUUUUGACGGAUGAUUUGGCGUAUGAUUCAUAUCUGUUGCAAAAACGGGGCAGGAUGAUUUAUAUGCCAAAGUUUAAUACUUAGGGAUUUUGGAAAAAUCCCUGUAAGAAUGAGCAAUAGUGGCGCUUCAGAAAAACCCACUAAUAAUAAGAGGGAAACACAGUACUUUCUGAAUAAAAACUAUUUGACUUCCUGUCAAAAACAUGACACAUUUUUUUUUUUUUUGGAAAACUCGUAAAAGGGACAGUUCCUCAAAAAUGAAAGCUGUCUCGUGUCACUGUUAGACUUUUGAUUAUCUUCGAAAACGAAGUUAAUAUAUUUUUAAUGAAACCUGAAAGAUUUAUGACGCUCCACUGAAAAUCAAUUACACCAGAAUUUUGACUGUUCAAAAAGUUCAUAAACACAUUGUAAAAGUAAUCCACAUGAACUGAGCAGUUUCUGAAGUGUCUUCCAAGUCUUCUGAAAAGACACAAUCUCAUGAAAACAAACCUCACGCGUCAGGCACGUAUAGCUUGGCUUCUGUUGACCAUAUUUGAUGUGCUCUAUAUGUGCAUUAAUCAGUGUUUAUACACUCUUAAAAAUAAAGGUUCCAAAAGUUUUUUUCCCCUUGAAGUGAUGCCAUAGAAGAACCAUUUUGGGUUCUUAAAAGAACCUUUCAGUGAAUAUUUCUUAACAAAAUGUUAUUUUUUUUCUUAGUGUGAAGAACAUUUUUAAAAAAUCUAAAUAACUAUUUUUUACUAUAAAGAACAUUUUGUGGAAUGGAAAGGUUCCAAAGAUGUUAAAGGCCCUUCAUGUUUUUAUGGAACCAUAGAUCGCAAUAAAGAAUCCUUUUGUUCCCCAGAGAACCUUUUAAUGAACAUUUCUUUCUUAGUAUGAAGAAUUUGUUUUUUGUUUUUUUGUAUGAACAUUUGAAGAACCUUUUUCCAUAACCUUUUGUGGAAUGAUAAGGAUCCAUGAAUGUUAAAUGUUCAUCAUGGAUCCAUUGAUGCCAAUAAAGAACCUUUAUUUUUAAGAGUGUAAAAGCCUAAAUUUUUUCAUCAAAUUGAUUCAAUUCUAAUUAAAUUCAUUAAAUUAUAUUAAGUUAUCGUGUCUCUUCAGUAGACUUGUAUUUAAGGGACAGUUCACCCAAAAAUGAAAAUACUGUCAUUAAUGUCGUUCCAAACCCAUAAGACCUCAUUGAACAGACAGAAACCUCUUAGAUUUCUUUACAAAUGUCUUCAUUUGUGGGUUAAACAUGAACGAAAAUGUUAAGGGUUUGGAUCGACGUGAGAGUGAGCAAAUGAUGACGGAAUUUUCUUUUUUGGGAGAACUAUCCCUGUAUGUAAAGUCUGCAUUGUGACCUCUGUCACUUCUAUCGAUCAGUGCUGUUCAAGUAGCAAAGCAAUAGCAGUGCAAUUCAAUACAGAUUCAUUAAAAAGUAAACCGUAGUUUGGUGCAGUGCUUGACCCCUCAUGCACAGAUUCUGUACCGUUGAACCGAGGCUAAGGUCAACAUACUCCAAGGAAGAUCAAUGGACUUCUGGAUCUGUUUGGUUAAGUAGUUUUCCACAGCAAAGCGAGCCUUCUGUUUCCAGUACGAGGUCAUGUGUGCUGAAUCGAUCCUGACCUGAGAAAACCGACACAUGUGUUUUGAAAGUACACGCAGGUGCAAAGUGCAGUGCAGGUGUGUGUGCACUGGAUCCAGCUCUGCAUGGGGACUUACAGCUCCAAGACCCUGUGAAAGCAUGUGUUGAUGUGUUGAAAUAUCUUUUCCUUUUGAAACAGGAGCAUAUUGAAGGGCUCAUCGUAAGUAGCCAGUAGGCUUUAGCUAAGGAUUUGCUACUUGCUUGUUGUUUGCAGAUGGCAUUUAGGUGAAUAAAUUCUCGUUUUGGAAAGUA